rnacentral:rRNA from 1 species
GACGAACGCUGGCGGCGUGCUUAACACAUGCAAGUCGAACGGAAAGGCCCUGCUUUUGUGGGGUGCUCGAGUGGCGAACGGGUGAGUAACACGUGAGUAACCUGCCCUUGACUUUGGGAUAACUUCAGGAAACUGGGGCUAAUACCGGAUAGGAGCUCCUGCUGCAUGGUGGGGGUUGGAAAGUUUCGGCGGUUGGGGAUGGACUCGCGGCUUAUCAGCUUGUUGGUGGGGUAGUGGCUUACCAAGGCUUUGACGGGUAGCCGGCCUGAGAGGGUGACCGGCCACAUUGGGCCUGAGAUACGGCCCAGACUACUACGGGACGCAGCAGUGGGGAAUAUUGCACAAUGGGCGGAAGCCUGAUGCAGCAACGCCGCGUGCGGGAUGACGGCCUUCGGGUUGUAAACCGCUUUCGCCUGUGACGAAGCGUGAGUGACGGUAAUGGGUAAAGAAGCACCGGCUAACUACGUG